GAACAGUCUGGAAAGUCUGGUCAUAGCGGGUGAUAGCCCCGUACACGAAAAACUGCAUGAGAUGAAAUCGAGUAAGGCGAGGCACGUGAAACCUUGUCUGAAUAUGGGGGGACCAUCCUCCAAGGCUAAAUACUCGUAAUCGACCGAUAGUGAACCAGUACCGUGAGGGAAAGGCGAAAAGAACCCCGGGAGGGGAGUGAAAUAGAUCCUGAAACC
rnacentral:rRNA from 1 species